rnacentral:tRNA from 1 species
AUUUUGGUGGCCGAUUAAGGUGGUAGAUUGUAAAUCUAUUUAUGGUUAAAUACCCCAUGUA